UCUUAGAGGCUUCAGAAGGGAAGAAACUGACCAUUUGGAAUGACUUAACAGGCUUUUCCCACAGAAGAACACUCAAUAGGCCCAGUCAGUCUCUGGGUAUCCCUGAGACCAAAAGGUACAUUGUUCAGCUGGUCUGAAGAUCCCACUCUCUCAUCUAUAAUUCCUAUCAUUGAUGAUGAUUUUGAGAAGGAUUUAUUUUUAUUUUGUGGCUCCUGGAGACAUAGAGAUGCCCAGGUCACUUCUGAUCUUGGAAAUCGGGCUCCGAAAGAAGCUCGGGAAUCUGCAGGUUUAUACAAGCUCUGGGGGACUCCCAUAACCUACGAGGUGGAAAAUCAGUUUCAGGAUCACAUCUUUGAGAAGGCUCACCUCUAAGUGGAUGCAUAUAUGAUGAACACAGACAUUUGGAUCCCAGACAGGAGACGACUAGAAGGUGGUACCCUGUGUCCUGGGGAAGAAGCGCUCCUGGAGAUAACAGCACUGAUGGAAUCAGUGCUGAUGGGGCCAUAACAACAUGGUUUCCGUGGAGCUCUGCCUCUGACAUCAAAGUUGGGUAACUGCUCUUCAAUUUUCUUCAAAUCC